rnacentral:rRNA from 1 species
AUUGAACGCUGGCGGAAUGCUUUACACAUGCAAGUCGAGCGGCAGCACGGGGGCAACCCUGGUGGCGAGCGGCGAACGGUUGAGUAAUACAUCUGAACAUGCCCAGUCUUGGGGGAUAACACUUCGAAAGAAGUGCUAAUACCGCAUACGUCCUGAUGUGGAAAGCGGGGGAUCGCAAGACCUCUCGCGAUUGGAGUGGCCGAUGUCAGAUUAGCUAGUUGGUGGGGUAACGGCCUACCAAGGCAACGAUCUGUAGCUGGUCUGAGAGGAUGAUCAGCCACACUGGGACUGAGACACGGCCCAGACUCCUACGGGAGGCAGCAGUGGGGAAUUUUGGACAAUGGGGGAAACCCUGAUCCAGCCAUUCCGCGUGAGUGAAGAAGGCCUUCGGGUUGUAAAGCUCUUUCGGCAGGAACGAAACGGUGAGCUCUAACAUAGCUUGCUAAUGACGGUACCUGAAGAAGAAGCACCGGCUAACUACGUG